AGGACGAACGCUGGCGGCGUGCUUAACACAUGCAAGUCGAACGAUGAUCCGGUUUCGGCCGGGGAUUAGUGGCGAACGGGUGAGUAACACGUGGGCAACCUGCCCUCCACUCUGGGAUAACUCCGGGAAACCGGGGCUAAUACUGGAUAUGAUCUUCGGGCGCAUGCCUGGGGGUGGAAAGUUUUCGGUGGAGGAUGGGCCCGCGGCCUAUCAGCUUGUUGGUGGGGUGAUGGCCUACCAAGGCGGUGACGGGUA
rnacentral:rRNA from 1 species